GAGGUGGGAGGAUUGCUUGAACCCAGGAGGUCGAGGCUGCAGUGAGCUGUGAUCGUGCCACUGCACUCCAGCCUGGGUGACAGAGCAAGACCUUGUCUCA
rnacentral:miRNA from 1 species